rnacentral:rRNA from 1 species
UACGAGGGGUGCAAGCGUUGCUCGGAAUUAUUGGGCGUAAAGGGUAGGUAGGUGGUCUCAUUUGUCUGGGGUGAAAGCCUUGAGCUUAACUCAAGAAGUGCCCCAGAAACGGUGAGACUCGAGUCUUGGAGAGGGUCGUGGAAUUCACGGUGUAGCAGUGAAAUGCGUAGAUAUCGUGAGGAACACCAGAGGCGAAGGCGGCUACCUGGACAAUUGCUGACGCUCAGGCACGAAAGCGUGGGGAGCAAAAGGG